GCCAGGCGUGGUGGCGCAUGCCUGUAGUCCCAGCUGCUCUGGAGGCUGAGACAGGAGAAUUGUUUGAACCCAGGAGCCGGAGGUUGCAGUGAGCCGAUAUUGAGCCACUGCACUCCAGCCUGGGUGACAGAGGGAGACCCUGUCUCAA
rnacentral:SRP_RNA from 1 species